UACGGAGGGGGCGAGCGUUAUUCGGAAUUAUUGGGCGUAAAGGGCGCGUAGGCGGCUUGAUGUGUCAAAGGUGAAAUCCCUCGGCUCAACUGAGGAACUGCCUUUGAAACUGUCUGGCUUGAGGCCGGGAGAGGGUAGCGGAAUUCCCGGUGUAGUGGUGAAAUGCGUAGAGAUCGGGAGGAAUACCUGUGGCGAAGGCGGCCUACUGGGCCGGACCUGACGCUGAGACGCGAAGGCGUGGGGAGCGAACGGG
rnacentral:rRNA from 1 species